ensembl:misc_RNA
CUGCCAGCCCUGGAGAAUGAAGUCCUCUUUAUUCACUGAGGACUGUACAGCAUUGGUAGCAGCAGUGCAGACUUACCCAAAUCUGUCUCUCCCCUGACCUGGAAGGGACUAUUUCUAGGGACAAGACGGUAAUUGAACUGCAUACUUUUUGCUUGAAAUUAUUGGCUUGC